CAGAACUACAAGAACCCGUUUUGAGUGAAGACCCUUCGUUGCUAAGGAUGUUUUGGUUAUAUUUCUUAAAGGGAAAUGGCAAUAUAUUUUUUUAUUUUCUCAUUUGAAAGAACUUUUGAAACUAUUUAAUAACUUCUUUUACCGAUUCUUCAUAUCUUGCUUAGUUCUUGAAAUAUUUUCACUUGAAGUAAUGAGAUGUCAGCCAUCUUGGAUAAAUUUUUUAUCUCAUUAACGGUAGUUUUGGUGACGUCACAACAGGGAUUAACCAUAUAAAAGUAUUCGUUGUUGACCAAAUAUUGAUUGGUAGAUGUUUU